CCCUUAGAUGUCCUGGGCCGCACGCGCGCUACACUGAGUGUCUGAGAUACGAGUCUGCCUGGUCCGGCAAGGUCUAGGUAAUCGCUAAAAGACACAUCAUGCUUGGGAUAGAUUAUUGCAAAUAUUAAUCUUGAACGAGGAAUUCCUAGUAAGCGCAAGUCAACAGCUUGCGUUAAUUACGUCCCUGCCCUUUGUACACACCGCCCGUCGCUACUACUGAUUGGAUGUUUAAGCGAGGUUCUCGAACUGCUAGCGACUUAGCUUCGGUGAGGUCGCAGUGUGGGAAGUGAACCUAGCUUUGGUGUCUAGAGGAAGUAAAAGUCGUAACA
rnacentral:rRNA from 1 species